GGUUAGGAAGCUGGGAGAGCGUCGCGUUCGCAAUGCGAAGGUCGGGAGUUCGAUCCUCCUCCGCUCCACCA
rnacentral:tRNA from 1 species